rnacentral:SRP_RNA from 1 species
GCUGGGCGUGGUGGUGCACGCCUGUAAUCCCAGCUACUCAGGAGGCUGAGGCAGGAGAAUCGCUUGAACCCGGGAGGCAGAGGUUGCAGUGAGCUGAGAUUAUGCCACUACACUACAGCCUGGGUGACAGAGCGAGACCCUGUCUCAA